rnacentral:rRNA from 1 species
AACGAACGCUGGCGGCAGGCCUAACACAUGCAAGUCGAGCGAGGACUUCGGUUCUAGCGGCGGACGGGUGAGUAACGCGUGGGAAUGUGCCCUUCUCUACGGAAUAGCCCUGGGAAACUGGGAGUAAUACCGUAUACGCCCUAUUGGGGAAAGAUUUAUCGGAGAAGGAUCAGCCCGCGUUGGAUUAGGUAGUUGGUGGGGUAAUGGCCUACCAAGCCGACGAUCCAUAGCUGGUUUGAGAGGAUGAUCAGCCACACUGGGACUGAGACACGGCCAGACUCCUACGGGAGGCAGCAGUGGGGAAUCUUAGACAAUGGGGGCAACCCUGAUCGAGCCAUGCCGCGUGAGUGAUGAAGGCCUUAGGGUUGUAAAGCUCUUUCAGCUGGGAAGAUAAUGACGGUACCAGCAGAAGAAGCCCCGGCUAACUCCGUG